rnacentral:rRNA from 1 species
UACGUAUGUCACGAGCGUUAUCCGGAUUUAUUGGGCGUAAAGCGCGUCUAGGUGGUUAUAUAAGUCUGAUGUGAAAAUGCAGGGCUCAACUCUGUAUUGCGUUGGAAACUGUAUAACUAGAGUACUGGAGAGGUAAGCGGAACUACAAGUGUAGGGGUGAAAUUCGUAGAUAUUUGUAGGAAUGCCGAUGGGGAAGCCAGCUUACUGGACAGAUACUGACACUGAAGCGCGAAAGCGUGGGUAGCAAACAGGAUUAGAUACCCCU